ensembl:snoRNA
CCUCCCCCUAGAGGCAUUGCUGGUGGUGUGACAGCUGUGUCCUGUGUGCAUCAGCAGGUGACAGAGAGGCGAGAACCUCCGUCCACACGCAGUGUUCUGGCCUGUGAACACCUGACUGUAGCAGCCUGACAUU